UACGUAGGGUGCAAGCGUUAAUCGGAAUUACUGGGCGUAAAGCGUGCGCAGGCGGCGCGUUUAAGACAGGUGUGAAAGCCCCGAGCUUAACUUGGGAAUUGCGCUUGUGACUGGCGUGCUGGAGUGUGGCAGAGGGGGGGUAGAAUUCCACGUGUAGCAGUGAAAUGCGUAGAGAUGUGGAGGAACACCGAUGGCGAAGGCAGCCCCCUGGGUCAAGAUUGACGCUCAUGCACGAAAGCGUGGGGAGCAAACAGG
rnacentral:rRNA from 1 species